rnacentral:rRNA from 1 species
AACGAACGCUGGCGGCAUGCCUAACACAUGCAAGUCGAACGAGACCUUCGGGCCUAGUGGCGCACGGGUGCGUACCGCGUGGGAACCUGCCCUUAGGUUCGGUAUCACUCCCCUAAAGGGGUGCUAAUACCGGAUAAUGUCUUCGGACCAAGGAUUUCUCGCCUUUGGAUGGGCCCGCGUUGGAUUGGCUAGUUGGUAGGGUAAAAGCCUGCCAAUGCGACGAUCCAUAGCUGGUCUGAGAGGAGGAUCAGCCACGCUGGGCCUGCGACACGGCCCAGACUGCUAGGGGAGGGAGCAGUGGGGAACAUUAGACAAGGGGCGAUGGCGUGGUCCAGCAAUGCGGCGUGAGUGAUGAAGGCCGUAGGGUUGUAAAUCUCUUUGUCACGGGAUGAUAAUGACAGUACCGGGAGAAGAAGCUCCGGCUAACUCCGUG